AGCAACAUUGUGCGUGGUAACUUGACCCCUCAUGAGGGGACAGAAGUGGUGCCAGGUAUGGUCUAUCAGGUCUCCAGAGCGCGGAUAUCCAGCCGCCGGUCACGGACAAUACGCAAGGCAACUGGCUACACCCGAGAGUGCGUUUUACGGGGCAAACGUUUAUGAAAUGUGCUUCCA